GAUGAACGCUGGCGGCGUGCCUAAUACAUGCAAGUCGAGCGAACAGACGAGGAGCUUGCUCCUCUGACGUUAGCGGCGGACGGGUGAGUAACACGUGGAUAACCUACCUAUAAGACUGGGAUAACUUCGGGAAACCGGAGCUAAUCCCGGAUAAUAUAUUGAACCGCAUGGUUCAAUAGUGAAAGACGGUUUUGCUGUCACUUAUAGAUGGAUCCGCGCCGCAUUAGCUAGUUGGUAAGGUAACGGCUUACCAAGGCGACGAUGCGUAGCCGACGUGAGAGGGUGAUCGGCAACACUGGAACUGAGACACGGUCCAGACUCCUACGGGAGGCAGCAGUAGGGAAUAUUCCGCAAUGGGCGAAAGCUUGACGGAGCAACGCCGCGUGAGUGAUGAAGGUCUUCGGAUCGUAAAACUCUGUUAUUAGGGAAGAACAAAUGUGUAAGUAACUAUGAACGUAUUGACGGUACCUAAUCAGAAAGCCACGGCUAACUACGUG
rnacentral:rRNA from 1 species